AGGUCACCUGAAGUUUGGCUGAUGUCGGCUGGACUGGAUUCCAGGUUGCAGGCAUCUAAUUCUGCCACUUCUUGGGACUGACUGAGUAAUGACAGAAAAGAAAUAACAUAGGAGACAGAAAGAACACUAAACUUCCAAGAGGAGUAGAGAUAUACCAGGGGAAGAAUAAUUCCUAGUACUUUUGGAAGACUUCUCUUAUUAUCAGUGUCUCAGGCCAAUUAAAUGUCAUGGAACUUCUGAUAGCCACGAUUUCUGAAAGAAAUGGAGUGGCACCUAUGCAUUCAAGAAUUUCUCUUCCAAGGCUCUCCUUUUUAUCAGGUUCUGUUUAAUUGUCCCCGGGUACUCCCAAUGGCCUC